rnacentral:lncRNA from 1 species
GCGGGGCGAAAGUUAGGUGGUUUGAGAGUUGUUAAUUCAUACUGGAUUAACGAGGUAAUUCUCUAUUGAGCGUAGAAGAUAUUAAAUCCUUGCAUAUCGUUUUUUGACUGUGCCUGAAAUUAUAAUAGGAUUCUACCUACAAAUACUAUGAGGUGAUUUUGGUUGAUGUUGCCCAUAAUGCGGUUCGCAAUGACCCGAGAAUCAACUGGAUCUGCAAUCCAGUCCACAAACACAGGGAGCUCAGAGGACUCACAUCAGCUGGUAAGAAGUACAGGGGUCUUCGAGGAAAAGGGCACUUGCACCACAAAGCCAGGCCUUCCCGCCGAGCAACCUGGAAGAGGAACAACACUCUCUCCCUGCGUCGAUAUCGAUGAUUUUGGUAUUACUUUUCUCUGUUUUGGUAUUUUUGCUAUGAGCAUUCUGUUCGUGGUUGGAGAAUGUAGUGGAAGUUACUUCCAUCCAAAAAGUUUUGAACUUCGUAAUUUACAUAGAGAAUUGUGAGGAUGUUUACAAACUAAACUAAUUAGCAACUUUUGUCUGGAUUGAAAUCAAUUUGUCCUUUUUUCUCUCGAUACAACGAUAGGUUUGUUUAUGCGUUUAGGAAAACUUAUGGAGUUAUAUCUAGGACAUUUUCAUUUAGGAAGUACUUGGGUUACGGUGGUCUUCAGCUAGUCCAAAAAUGUAUCAAAAGUAGUUUUGUAAUUAUUUUCAAAAUUAACCGAUAUUUUACCUAUUUUUAAAAAUGUCUGGUUAAAAAAAAUCAAGCAAUAACUGAAAAUGAAAUUGGCUUUAAUAAUUUAAAUAAACAAAAACAAAGCUUUUAAGAAUUUUAUUUGUUUUUGGAAAUGUGAAAAGUUACCAAAAUCUUGUUAAAAAAAAUAAAUUGGUUAAGAAUUUAAGUUUUGUUUUAAUUUGAGUUUUUUAAAAAUAAAUGUACAAAAAUUGUAGCUUGAAUGAAGUUGGGGCUAUUAAAAAUAUAAUAAAGUGACAAAAUAUUUACAUUGUAGAAUAGUUUUGAAAACGAAUAUUUACAAAAUAUUUACAUUGUAGAAUAGUUUUGAAAACGAAUAUUUACAAAAUAUUUACAUUGUACAAAAAGCUCAUCUAAACGAGUCUCCUACGCAACUCAAAGUGUAGACAAAGAUACAACUUAUACAUGAUCUUGUUGAUUACCAUAGAUAUAAACACUAAAUGAUGGCGAAAAAAUUAGAUUUAAAUAAUCGCAUAGAGAGUACAUUUAACGAUCGUUGCAUAUAACGAUCGUUGCAUAGAUACGUAUAAUCGUGUAUGUAAGUAUAAACGAUCAUUUACACAAGCAAAACUCGCUCAUUAUUACAAACAUAAGAAUUACAAAAAUAACAUCGAAAUCAAAGCACUACAAAAAGGAGAAGACAUUUGUUCAGACUUUUCCUCUUCUUUAUGCCCUUCGUGUUCUUUACAUCAUUUUUGUCGUACAUCUUCUUUAUCAAUCAUUUAUUUCCUCGUGCCUUCUUCAACAAAACUUUUGAAAUUCUUCUUAGUCUUGUUCUUUACCUUCCAUUCUCAUCAAUCUUCGAAAAUAUUUUUUCGGCAUUCUGGUCGUUGCUCAAUAUUUUGGUUCCACAACCAAAUCUAUGUCCAUUUAUCUCAAUCUAUUUCCAUCAUCUAUCACAAUCUAUCUCCCAUACAAAGAGGUUUGAAUGUAUAUUCGUUAUAUUUAAUUGAAUAAUCAUUCUUGUUCAAUGUAUAACACCUCGGCGCAAAGAGCGACACCUUGUUGGAAAGAAAAAAAAUGUGAGAAAACCAGAGUUGGUUUAUUUUAUGCAAAGCAAAGUGUAAUUUGUACUUUUAUAAGCAUUAAGUUAAUAAACAGAAGGAGUUUAAGCUAUUCGCUGUAAAGGUGGUGAAAGUCUCUAAGGCUCAAAUGGAAGAGCUUCACGAAGAGACGAGAGAAAUAGUUGUUCUGCUUACUGUGUGUUUAAUGUGUUAUCUCGCGAAAAGGUAUGCGUUGAAUGUCUAGGUGACACGUCCUCCAUUUGGUCUCAUGGCAUGAAAUUUGGGACGGGUCAUGACAACUCACUAAAUUUACUUCAAACCAUAUCGAAAGUUUAUCAAAAUUGCCUUGACAACACAUUAACGACUUUGUAAAUUCUAAUCUAGUACCUAAAACCAUUUUCUGUUUCGAGCUUAUGGAGGUAACACCCAAGCAAACUGCAAAGUUAAUGAAAGUCCAUUUUGACCUUUCAACUUUAUGACCUGAGUAUCAUAUGUAAUUUCAUUUUAAUGCUUACACUUAAUAGGCAUUCAAGAACUCUAAAAAAACUCAACAAAAUUACUUCAAAACUUACCAAGUGCUUGGCAAAGUAACCUUAACUUCAAUAAACAAUCUUUUGAUGGUCUUCAACUAUCGAAUCCUAGCAUCUAAAAACUAUGAGUUGUUUAAUAAUAACAACGAAACUCAAUGGGCACGGAAGAACUACUCGAAAAAGCUUAGAAUCUUACCCAAUAUAUGCCAAAACGCCCAACUUCGAGCCAUCAACGGGCUGGACAAAGGUUCAAAUCUUCCAAGAAUCCAAAACUAACAUCAAAAUGUAAUGCUUAUUGAUUUUUCUCCAAACACAUAAUUGAUAUUCAAAACUUUUCAUUGAAAGCCCAAAAACUCACCAAGAUUUUGACAAAUCAAACUCCAAACAUUGGACAGCGCUUCAACAACUCUAGAAUUGGCCAAAACAUGCGUCUGAUGAGUACCAACACUCACAGGGGUGGAUCCAUAGUGACAACGAAGCGGAAUCAUGCUGAUUAUAGACUAGGUACGCAUGGAACAACCAAAUCUUGUUAAACAAGGCUCAAAAUAUAUUUACCCCUCAAUUCCAACACAAAAGAAAGUGGACAACUCAAGUCGAACUUGUUUAGGGUGUUGGUCAUUAUAGCUUGACAAACAUCAAUAGAAUUGAAAGCAAACCAAAGGAAAAUUAGCUACUUACCCACAUGUGACAUCAAAUGAACAGUGGCUGAUUGAAAGGCGAUGAGCAGACACAAUGGAUACAAUAGUAGAGCUCACGAAAAACAUUACCAAACGGUCUCUAAGUUUCCACAUGCAACACCUCCGCUUCUUAAAAAAAUGGAAACAAAAACAGAAAACAUGGAACGAAAACAUUACAAAAUGCGCUCUAAGCUUCCAUGUGCACCACUAUGAGUAAAAACAGGCAUAAUAACAAGAGUUUAGGUGACUAAGUUAUUUUGGAACUAGUAUAAAUAGAGAUCUUCAGCCAAAUUAUGGAGUAUUGUUACUCUGACAAUCAAAAUAGAAAAUUAAAGUGUUGGAGUGUUACCAAAAUAGCUACGCCCGAAGAAGAAGAAGAGGAGGAGAAGCAACUAAAAUUUGAGUCACCAAAUGUUGUGAGUGUUUUUCUUGAAAGUGAUUUGAUGUUAAAAGCUUUCUUAUAAAGUUUCUAUUGAUUUUAAAUGAUGAAUUCAAUAUGAAUAUUUCUAAAGAGAUUCUUAUGAAAAGCAUAUAUUAUGUUCUUAAUGUAUAUUUGUGUAAAUUAAAUGAUUACGAAAUAGUGUUCAAACCACUUGUUUCUUCCCAUAAAUGAGUUGACUAUUAUGUGCACAUAAAAAGUAAAGACAACCACGUAGAAAAUGAUUGCAUGGUAUAGUGAAGUUGACCAAUGUAGAAAAGUAUUGCAUUGUGUUUAGUGGCUUGAGCAACAGAAUGAAUCAGGAUAUUCCUAGAUGUUGUUGAUGAAAAUGACAUCUCACUAGUCUAAACACGAGAUGACGAGUCUUCGUGUUGGGAAUGAUUCAUGUUCUUGGCGAAAAGAUUGUGUGAGACUAAUGUGUUUUAUGAUGUUUAUGUGAAAUGUGUGUGUGUUACGUGAAUUGACAUGUGUGUGAUUUGAUUUGUUUUCUAAAUUGAUGUUUAUGAAUGAUAUUUCAUAGAAAAGUUCUCUUAAAACCUUACGAGUCUUUUCACUUAUAUUUUAAAGUUUUAACCUCACAAGUCUUUUCACUUAUGUUUUAAAGUUUUCAUUUACAGGCUUUAGGCGUUAAGUCCAAAUAAGAAAAGGGUAAAAAGCUGCUAGGUGAGAUGAGCUGCAGAUGUUUUAUUAUUAAGUUUAAGAGUUGUAUUAUGUAAUAUGUAUUAAGCUGUGUAGAACGCCUUAUUUUUUGUUAAGUUGUUUAUCGCCUAAAGUACGAGUUGUAGUUUGAGAAAGAAGUGUAGGUGAUUAAGCAAAGCUUAAGUACCUUAACCCAAGUGUUUUGACAUCAAAUGUAUCAAAAUACUCAAAAUCAUAUCGCUUCUCCCAUAGUGAAUCAAGUUGCAUGCAUGGCACGAUGUGACAUUUCUCCUUUUCAUAUUAUUAAUUUCUUCGUAUAAUUAAUUUAGUUUUUUCAUACUCUCACUUCCUAUUAUAUGCGAUUUAUUCUUUCUUACAUUUUUUUUCAUCUAAGCUAAUAUAAAAAUUAGCAUUACCUUAAACGGUGUUUGGAGAAAAAAAACUUACAAUGAAGUAAAUAAUUCUCAUAUAGUUCAUCUGAUUUCGUUAAUGGAGGAAGGAAAAAGAAAAUUUUGAUCUAUAGUAAGUCUAAUAUUUAUCUAAGAUUAAAAAAAUCAUCCAAAAUCCGACGAACUAUGCAAUAAAAUGUAAAUAUUAGCAUUACCCUUGGGUUGAUUCAAGAAGAAAAGAAAUGUUAGAAAAGGAAAGGUCAAAUCAAAUGAACUUUCACAAAAAUGUAAUUUUGGGAUAUAAACUUCCCUUGGUUUUCUCCUUACGAAUUAGUGACAGCCAAAUGACUUUCCUUUAUACAUGAAAGUGUAAAAGUAAUUAUAUUAUUGGUAAAAAUAUAAUUAUUAUGAAAAUAUGUUUAUUUAUUUUUAUAUAUAAUAAUAAUUAUUGUAUUAUUAUAAUUAACAAUGGCCCUCUUUCUGCAUAUGAUAAUCAAUCUCACCUUCUUCCUCCACGUUUAACCUAGCCGCACAGGAACCUCGUCACCGCCAUCAGUCGAGUCCGCUGCUCACCGUCCAUCGAUCUCCGGUCGCAGCCGUUCCGUCCACGCUCAUCGUAGUAGACAAAGCGUCUCCAUUCCAAUGGGUAUGUUCCUGAGCUUUAGAUUGUUUAGGGAGGAGGUUAGAUUAGAUUGUAAAUGUUUUUGUUUGAUGUAAUCAAAAUAGUUUAUUUUCUCAUUGUGAUUUUUUUAGAUUCUUUGUGGUAUUUGGAAUAAUGGGGUCUUUUCUUUUAACACUUUGAACGGGUAUAGGUGUUUUUUUUUUUUUUUUUUUUUUGUAUUUUGAUACUUCCUACGUUUAGAUUGAUUAUAGAAUAGAUUGGAUUAGAUUAUUAUUUGUUUUCGAUUGACGAAUUGGAAAAGCUUCUUCUAUUUUUCUAGAACUUAAGGAUACAGUUUUACAACCUAUAGAACAGAUCCUGUUCAAGUAAGGUCGUCUAUUUUUCUCAUUGUUGUCUGUUAUUUUUUGAUGAAAUCGAUAUAACUUGUCAAGUAAGCUUUUCUAUAAAAGAAAUUAAGUCUUUUGCUUCAUUUAGUUUCAAUGUUACAAGUUUUGUUUCAAUUUGGUUCGUGCUAAAACUUUCAAUUUAGUCAUUCUGCCAGUUCACACAAUUUCCUUUACUAUUUUUAUGAAAAUAAGUGUACUAUCUUUAUCUUGGUCUCAUGGAUCCUCUAGAACAUUGGACUAUUCUUGCCUUUUCAUUUCAUUUUGCAGUGAAUUAUAAGGAGAUUUUUUAGGUUUAGAAUCACAUUUUUUGCUUUUUGUUACUUUUCAUUUUCAAAAUCUUUCAGUUUAGAUUGUUUGUGCGGGAGCCUAGAUGAGAUUGUUGCAUGUUUAUUAUUGAUGAAAUUGUAAUAGUUUCUUCUUUUAACGUUUCUUUUCCUGGAUUCCCACCAUUUGUAUUUGAAAAAAUAGGGGCGUACAAGUACGUGUCAGAGCUAUGGAGGAAGAAACAGUCCGAUGUGAUGAGGUUUCUACAGAGGGUGAGAUGCUGGGAAUAUCGACAACAUCCAUCAAUUGUUCGUGUCAAUCAUCCCACUCGCCCAGAUAAAGCUCGACGUCUUGGUUACAAGGCCAAGCAGGUAAGAAAAUAUGCAAAGAUUUCCUUAUCAAGUGUUUUACAUCUAAGCUUUCCUGAGUCUUUUCCCUUGGGUUAUUCGGUUAGCAUAUGUUCGAUUUUUUCCCCGGUGUAGUGUGGAUAUCAUUGGCUUCAGGCACAACAAUGAAUUCAACGUUUUUGUUGCAGGGGUAUGUGGUUUACAGGGUCCGAGUGCGACGUGGUGGUAGGAAGAGGCCUGUUCCGAAGGGUAUUGUGUAUGGAAAACCAACCAACCAGGGUGUAACCCAGUUGAAGUUCCAGCGCAGCAAGCGAUCAGUUGCAGAAGAACGGGCGGGGCGAAAGUUAGGUGGUUUGAGAGUUGUUAAUUCAUACUGGAUUAACGAGGUAAUUCUCUAUUGAGCGUAGAAGAUAUUAAAUCCUUGCAUAUCAUUUUUUGACUGUGCCUGAAAUUAUAAUAGGAUUCUACCUACAAAUACUAUGAGGUGAUUUUGGUUGAUGUUGCCCAUAAUGCGGUUCGCAAUGACCCGAGAAUCAACUGGAUCUGCAAUCCAGUCCACAAACACAGGGAGCUCAGAGGACUCACAUCAGCUGGUAAGAAGUACAGGGGUCUUCGAGGAAAAGGGCACUUGCACCACAAAGCCAGGCCUUCCCGCCGAGCAACCUGGAAGAGGAACAACACUCUCUCCCUGCGUCGAUAUCGAUGAUUUUGGUAUUACUUUUCUCUGUUUUGGUAUUUUUGCUAUGAGCAUUCUGUUCGUGGUUGGAGAAUGUAGUGGAAGUUACUUCAAUCCAAAAAGUUUUGAACUUCAUAAUUUACAUAGAGAAUUGUGAGGAUGUUUCCAAACUAAACUAAUUAGCAACUUCUGUCUUUAUUGAAAUCAAUUUGUCUUUUUUUCUCUCGAUGCAAUGUGUUUGUUCGAUAGGUUUGGAUGGUUGAAACAGUAUCUGUUAGUUUUAUUUGUUUGUUUAUGCGUUUAGGAAAACUUGUGGAGAUGUAUUUAAAACAUUUUCAUUUUCAUAGAGGAAGUACUUUGGUUUCGGAUGUCUUCAGUCCAAAAAUGUAUGACAUUUAGUUUUGUAAUUAUUUUCAAAAUUAAGCAAUAUGUUACAUAUUUUUAAACAUGUCUGGUUUAAAAAAACCAAGCAAAAACUGAAAAUGAAAUUGGCAUUAUAGAUGUAUAGAUGUUCAUUGUCUGAAUGAGGUGUAGCUUAGGGUUUAGGUUAGGUAUGUUAGUGGUUAUCUAAUGUCACAUCUUACUUGUCAAAUUGUCAUCCUAUUUGCUAAAUUUGUUCUACAAGUAGUGGUAUUUGGUAGAGUUAUGAUGUACCCAAAGUGGAGAAUGGAGAAAAUUCAAUUUUCUAAUUUUCUUUAUUGGGAUUUUUUUUUAAAAAUAAUGUAAAGUUUGAAACAUAUUUCAAAAAUAUGGUAGAUGCAAAACUAUUUUCAAAAAUAGGUGUUUUGAGGUGAAGUGUACAGGGUACAUGACUUCCAUGCAGUGGACUCCACAUACUCUAUUUUUUCCUUAUUUUUAUAUUUAUACUAUACUGGGUUCCACACUUUUUAAUUUUCUCAUUAUUUAUAUACGUGGGUCCCACACACUUCACUUUUUCUCAUUAUUUAUAUAUACAUACUCACAUAUAAUAUAAUAUAUAUAUUAUACAUUCAAAUUCUAAAAAUAUCUUUCUUUAUUAAAUUAAUUUAUUUUUUUUUAUUUUUUUCUUUAUAUAUAUUUAAAUAUCACAAUCUUCAAUCUUCAAUUUUUUUUAUUAAAUUCAUUUUUCUAAUUUAAUUUAAUUCUUUCUUAAUCAAAAUUAUACAUAUAUUUUUUUCCAAUUUUCAAUUUUUUAAAAAAAAUCUCAUUUAUUAACAAAAACAUGUUAUUAAAAAUAUAUUAAACAAAUUAAAAGAGUAAUAAUAAUAAUUGAGAUAAGUUAAAAUUACUAAAAAAAAUAAUAAUAAUAACACUUGAAGCCACACACAUUGAUAAUUGAAUAAAAAGAAAUUCAUGUUUAUGGUAAAAGGAAAAAAACAAGAAUUGGUUCGAUUACAAAUUAAAUUUAAAAACUUAAUGGAUAAUUUUGAAUUGCAAAUUUAUUGUUAUUAUUAUUUUUAGAGUACGUUUCAACUUCUUUCAAUUACUAUUAUUAUUUUUAUUUGUUUAAUGUAUUUUUUAAUAACAUAUUUGGUUAAUAUAUGUGUUUUUUUAAACAGAAAAUUAGAAAAAGAUAUAUAUAAUUUUGGUUAAGAAAUAAUUAAAUUAAAUUAGAAAAGAUGAAUUAAUAAGAAAAUUUGAAGAUUGAGAUAUUAAAUAAAUAAAUUUAUAAAUAUAUAUAUAUAUAUAUAUAUAUAUAUAUAUAAAUUAUUAUUAUUACUCUUUUAAUUUGUUUAAUAUAUUUUUAAUAACAUGUUUUGUUAAUAUAUGAGAUUUUUUUUUAAAAAAAUUGAAAAUUGGAAAAAAAAUAUAUGUAUAAUUUUGAUUAAGAAAGAAUUAAAUUAAAUUAGAAAAAUGAAUUUAAUAAAAAAAAUUGAAGAUUGAAGAUUGUGAUAUUUAAAUAUAUAUAAAGAAAAAAAUAAAAAAAUAAAUUAAUUUAAUAAAGAAAGAUAUUUUUAGAAUUUGAAUGUAUAAUAUAUAUAUUAUAUUAUAUGUGAGUAUGUAUAUAUAAAUAAUGAGAAAAAGUGAAGUGUGUGGGACCCACGUAUAUAAAUAAUGAGAAAAUUAAAAAAUGUGGGGUCCAGUGUAGUAUAAAUAUAAAAAUAAGGAAAAAAUAGAGUAUGUGGGGUCCACCGCAUGGAAGUCGUGUACCCCGUACACGACUUCACCUCAAAACACCUAUUUUUGAAAAUAGUUUUGCAUCUACCCUAUUUUUGAAAUAUGUUUCAAAUUUUACAUUAUUUUAAAAAAAAAUCCUCUUUAUUGUUUAUUUAUAUAUUAUUAUUUUAAUAUUUUCUCGAUUUUCGUAUUCCAAUUGUGUCUCAUUUUCACAACAUGCUAUUAGCACGAGCUUCGGUCGUCUCUUCCAGUCGUUCUUACGUUAUGUCAAUUUUCUCCUACACGUUAUAAUUAAUAAAAAUAAAUAUUACUUUGUAUGUUUGGUAUAGAUUAAAUUUAUAUUAUUUGAUUCUAAUAGGAAAAGUUUGAUACAUUAAAAUAUCAUUAAGAAUAUGAUCAUUGAAAACAAUUAUCUUAUAUUUCGGAUAUGCUCUUGCAGUAGCAAUACCGAGAAAAAUAUUUUGAAGAAUAUUUUCUUAAUUUCUUCUCAUGCUAAAAUGAGAUAACGAGUUACUGGUUGAAAAAUAAUAAACAUCAGUCGACUAAAGAAACAAAAUUUUCCUCGAGUGAGUGUUGUAAAUUUGACAAUUGUUAUAAGAAGUAAUUAUUUUACGUGGUUGAUCUUUAUAAUCAUCCAAAUCUUAAAAGAACCACAUGAAAUGAUCAUAAAAAGAAAAAGAAAAAAACGUGAAAAUAGAUUUUGCAUAUCAAAUUGAUAAUAUAUUUGGCUGAACCUGUAAGACAAAUUUGGAUGGGGUAAAAUUUUGAAUCUUCUAAAGAUAUUGAUAUAUUUGAUUAAAAAAAUUGUUUUAUUUAUGAAUUAAUGAUUAAUGUUUUUUUCCCCUCAUUUUAAUAUAUAUUCUAAGUUUUCUUCGUAUUGUAAUUAUUUUGUUUAAUGAAGAAGUAUGAAUAAUUUUCUUGUGCUCAAUAACUUAAAAUUGAGCAAUGAAGUUAUAUCUUUGACAAACAUUGCAACGCACACAAUACUAACAAGUAAAAAAUAUUUUUUUCAGCUGAAAGCAAAAGUCAAUACAAUAUCAGAUUUGUUCUGCAAAUCUGUUGAUGGUUUUGGAAAAGCAAAUAUUGUUUUUUUCUAGAGGAACAAAAGUUGUAAUUGAUAAUACAUUGUUCUCUAGUCAAUCAAAGAGAAAUCUAUUGAGUUUUAAUGAUAUAUGUUGCAAUGGUUAUAAUAUUGACACUAACAGAAAGAAUGAGAUAGAAUAUCUUAAUAUUAUACCUACUGUCUCAAAUGAAAUAUGUAUAUUAGAAAAGUUGUCUGCUUUAUCUUCUGGAUUAUAUUAUACUCAUAUAAGACUAAUUAAAACAUAUUCAACAAUGAACUUAAAAUUCAUGAAUCCAGACAUAUUUGCAAUUUGACACAAUCAAUUGGGUCAUCUAGGAUCCAUAAUGAUGAGAAGAAUUAUUAAAAAUCCACAUGGACAUCCAUUGAAGAACCUACUGAAUUAUCAUGUGAUGCUUGCUUUCAAGGAAAAUUAAUAAUUAGAUCAUCACCAACUAUAUAAAGUGGGAAUCGAAUCAUCUACAUUUUUUGAAUGAAUUCAUGCUUAUAUUUGUGGAUCGAUUAAACCACCAAGUGAACAAUUUAAGUAUUGUGAUGGUCUUAAUAGACACAUCCAACAGAUGGUCGCAUAUGUGUUUAUUAUCAAGUCGAAAUCUUGCAUUUGCAAAAUUAUUUGCUUAAAUAUUUGAGUUAAGAGCACAAUUUUUUCAUUAUACAAUUAAGAAUAUUCAACUUAAUAAUGCACGAAUUUACAUCCCAAGCAUUUGAUAAUUAUUGUGUGUCUAUUGGAAUCAACGUCGAAUAUCCUGUAGCUCAUGUUCAUACACAAAAUGGUUUAAUAGAAUCAUUUAUAAAACGUUUGCAAUUAAUUGCUAGACUAUUACUUAUUAGAGCAAAACUUUCUACAUUUGUAUGAAGACGUGUUAUUUUGCAUGUUGCAUCACUUGUGCGUAUUAAGCCAACAACUUAUCACAAAUACUCGCCAUUACAAUCAGUAUAUAGUUAUGAGCCAAAUAUUUCUCAUUUGAGAAGUUUUGGAGGUGCAAUAUAUGUUUCAAUUGCUUAACCACAACAUACUAAGAUGAGUCCUCUAAGGAGGCUAGAAAUAUAGGUUGGUUUUGAUUCCUCAUCAAUUAUUAAAUAUAUUGAAUCCCUGACAAAUGGCCUGUUUACUGCACGAUUUGUUGAUUAUCAUUUUAAUGAGAGAAAAUUUUCCAAUAGGAGGAUGAAUUAAGAACUUGGAAAAAGAAAUUACAUAGAAUAUAUCAUUAUUGUCUCAUUUAGAUCAUCGUACAGAUCAAUGUGAACUUGAAGUUAAAAAAUAAUUAAUUUGCAAAAUAUUGCAAAUCAGUCACUAAAAGAAUUUUCGUCUUUGCUAAUGCAGAAGAACGUGGGCAAAGCUUCUGUCGACGUAUCUUUUUGCGUGGACGCGUUGCAUGACCGAAAUACAGUUGUCUUUUCCUUUACCCACAUUUUUUAUGUGGCGUCGGCAGAAAUGGUCAUGCAAAUUAAAAUCAUGGGAAAAAAAGAUAUUUCUAGCCAUGAAAAAAACAUGGCAGAAAGGUAUUUUUGUCCACGAUCAUCAUCGCGUUGGCAAAAAUAUAUUUUAUGGCCACGAAAAAAACAUCGGUCGUAGAAAGGUAUUUUUACCCACGAUCAUCAUCACGUCGAAAAAAAAUGAACUUUAUGGCCACGUUUGUUUCGUGGGUAGAAACUGUUCUUGCCAACGAAAAGAUUUUUGUCAACAAAAACAAAAUUUCUCCCAACACUAAAUUUGUCGGUAAAUAAUAUUUGUUUCUUUUUCUUCGACGCACCGAACGUUGCUAAAGCUUUCUAAUUGCCAACAUAUUUCUAGCCACACACAAAGAAUGUGUGGCAAAAACGAUUUUAAUUUUUUUCACAUUUAUUAUUAAUAUUGUAUGUUUCUAAAUUAAAUUCAAAUAUAGAAUGAAUUUUCUAUCUACAGCAAAAUACAAUGAACACUGUAAUGAAAAAUUAAAAAUAAAAAUAUUUUCAACCAUUAAUAUUUUGUCAAAAUAUGACAAAUCAUAAUUCAAUAAUUUGUCAAAAUAUGACCAACAAUAAUUCUACAGUGUGUCAAGGUUCAUGAGUUAAAAUAAAUUUCACUUUGGAUUACCAAAAUGGCAAAAAAAAUCUUAAAUAAACAAAAAAAAAAAGGUUAACUCAGUCUAUAAAGUCUUCAAAAAGAUAGUCAUUCCCUUCUCUUUCAAACUAUAUAAAUCUGAAAAAGGUAUAUUAAAAUGAAUAAGUUCUAAGUGCAACUUUGAAAUUAAAGUCUAACAAAAAAUGUGCGAAGUGUCUUAACUCUCAAAGUCGACCUACAAAACAAGUUUCAAAUACCUAAGUUUACUAGGAUUUUUUUUCUAGUAAGAUUUUAACGAGACAUAUUUCAUAUAUGUAAUGGAUAUAUAGAUGUCUAUUAUCUCAUCAUGCCAUGUGUCUUAUGAGUGUAGAUACUUAGUGUACACCAUGUAUCAAACAAAUAUGCUAUCUUAGUGGCCAUCUAAUGUCACAUCCUACUUGUCAAAUUGCCUAUAAAUUGUGGCAUUUGGUGGAGUUGUAAGUUGUACCCACAUGUUGGAGAGAAUUCCGUUGAAAGAGGGAGAAAGUGGAGAAAAUAAAUUUUCUAUUUUUCGUAAUUUUGUUAAUUUCUUAAUUUAUUUAUGUAUUAUAUUUUAAUAUUUUCUCAAUUUUCAUAUUCCGGUUGUGCCAUGUUUUCACAACGUAUACUUCGUAUUUUAAUUUUAAUUUCAUUUAUAUGUAGAUCUAUAUAUUCUAUAUAUUUGGUCAUAUAUAUAUAUAUAUAUAUAUAUAUUUGAUAUUGAAUUGUAAAUUUCACAAACUUUGUCACAUACAAAUGUAUGUGAUUUAUGCUAUUCAUAUUUUUAAAAUUUUAUUUUAUAAGAAACAUGUAUAUUCAUAUAACAAAAGAGAACAACUUAAGGACAAAGGAUAAGAGAGCCCAAAAAUGAUGACCUUCCAAUUGUUGAAUAUCAUAGAAAGACUAUAAUUACAAAAGUAUUUGGUGUAAUUGGUAAUCCACCAAGAAGUUGUGUGUUGCAACAUAGUCUAAAAGAAUCAAAAUAAUUUUAGCUAUCUUAAAAAAAUUAUACUAUUCAUUUCUUUCCAAAUGCACCACGAAAAGGACUGAGUAGCACAUCUCCAUAAGAUGUUUCCUUUCGAACUAUAACCUCUAAUGUUGAACACUUCAAUCAACCAACUAUCAACCUUGCUAGGAAGACAAAACUUCAAAUAAAAAAUUCUAAACAAAGUGUUCCAAGCUUUUUUAGUAAAGAGACGGUACAAAGAUAAGUGGUCUAGAGUCUCUUAUUCUUUGAAUCAAAGGAACAACAAUGGAUGUGGAUCUCUUAGUUAAAUUGUGAAAAAUAUACUUCUUAGUAAAGCUGCCAUUAACAUUAGGAGUUCAUUUAAAAUUGUCGCCACCAUUUGAGGAGGUCUAAGAAUUAAGAAUUUUUAGAAUUGAGGCCACAUUGUCAAGCUCGUUAUCGAACAUAUUUCUUCUAAGGUCCAAGUUCCAUGAAUGAGUAACAAUACACCAAUAAACAUCCUUAUUCAAAGACAAUGAUAACAAAUCAGAAAAUUUCUCUGCAAAUGGCUCCACACCACACCAAUUGUCCUUCCAAUAUGAUCUUGGUUCCUUUUCCCAACACAAAAGCUGAGAAUUUAAAGGUCUCUUUGUGCUUCAAAAUAUUAGCUCAUAAUUUGUAAGACUUUCCUAUGUUCAGAUUUUUAGUAGACCACACAUUCUUCUCUAAGUCGUAAAUGACCACAAUUAAGUGCCUCCAAAAUGAUUGUUUGAUCCAUGUACCUUUGACUUGAUUACGAUUUAGUCUCUGCUAUAAAAGUUAUCGUUGAUAUUUAACAAAAUUUGAGGUGGAUGUUAUCUAGAUCCAUGUCUACAACUUUUUGCCUUGGUUUAGGUGUUGGUUCAAAAUUGAACCAUUCAAAUCAAGAAAAUAAAACAACAAAUUAGGAUAAAUCAAGAGAUAAGUUUCGGGGGUUGUUUGGCCAAUGAGUUUUGACACUUGGAAUAAAAUUUCAUGGGAUUAAGAAACUAAACCCAUGUUUGGGCACUUGGAAUAAACUUUUGAGGAUUAAAAAACUAAACAUAUAAGUUUGGAAUAUGUUAUUAUUUUAAAUUUUAUUGAAUGUCAUAUGUUUUAGAAAAUUUUUCACUUCAACCUCUUAUCAAUGAUCAUUGAUGACAUUUGACAACAUAGGUUAGCCAACUUCAUGAUCAACCAUGAAGCCUGAUCAUGAUUGAUCAACGGUCACGACCACUUGUCGCCUUAACCAUAGGCUCUGGAUCAUCUUGAUUGUCUAGACUAUUGAUCAUCGAUUGUCGGUGACUAAUCAUCUUGAUUGUUGGUGACCUACAAUUUUAGACGUUACUGUCAUCAUCAAGUGCACAUCUUGAUUGACGACGAUCAAUUGUUAUCGUUAAUUAUCAAUGUUGUGCCUAUUAACAAAUGAUCGUAGUGAUGGUAAUGCCAAUAGCCAUGACCCUUGGCGAUCAAUUGUCAUGAUGGUUGGCGACCAACCAAUCGUCUUAAACACAUUGGCGACCGUUGACCGUCUUCACCAAGACUUUCUACACCAUUUCCCAUGGCUUUGAAUAGUAAACACUAUUCAAGCCCAUUAAUUACUUUUUUAAAAAAAAAAUUAUUCUUUUUCUAAUUCAAUCUAGAAAUUUUGUGGGCCAACUUUAAAUACAACCCCUGCCGACCAUUGCGUGUCAUUUCUGACAACUUCGCUGGCGAACUUCCGCCUACCAACUUUGACAGCCACCAAAAACCUUGAAAAAUUCAUAAAAAUAAAAAAUUAUGAAUCAUUCCAAAUACGCAUUUGAUUUAUUCACAGUAACAUUUUUUCAAAUACACAUUUUUUUCAUUUUCUAUUUUCUUUUCCUCAAAAGUUUUUUUUAAUAAUAAUAAUUAUUAGACCACCCUCUUAAUUAUAUCUUUUUAUAUUCUUUGUUUAAAAUUAAUUUUUCUUUCAUUUUAUGAUAUUUUUCCUCGGUGAAAAUUGGUGAACUAUCUAUUGUGAUCUCAAUUAUAAAUCAAACAUUAAUACAUUGAUAAUAUAGUAUAAAUUAUAAAUAUAUAUCACAUAUACCAUGGUUUAUUGUUAGUUUAAUAACAUUUUUCAUUUUUUUCGUUAGCCAGUUUACUAAGACUUGUAUGGAUUGACUUAAGAAAAAACUAUGUUUUUAAAACUCAUUUUUAUUUAAUUUUUUUAAAUAAAAGUAGUUUAAAAUACAUUGUGGGUGUAUCUUAAGAAGACAACCAUAACCCUGACUAAUUGUAGCUCUAUUUGACUUUCGCUUUUGCAUAACCCUUUUGUUUAUGUCUAUUUUAAAACUUUUUGAACCCUUUUUAACGUUGCUUAACUGAAACUUUCACAAAACUCAUUCAAAUUCCCGACUUACUAUAUUUUGUGAAUGGUUUGUAACAUUUUUUAUUAGACCAUUGAUAUUAAUACUAUUUUAAUAAAAAUUAUUGUUAUUGAAUAUUAAAAUUUCUCAUUUUUACAUUGUUGUCAUGAAAAUCAAUAGAGUCAAUAAAUUAAAUUAGAGAUACAAAAUAUGAAGAAAAAACAAUAAAAAAAUUAAAUACAUGAUAAAUUUAAGACGUACAAUUUUAAAAAAACAAAUGAGUUAAACUCACAAAAUCAAAACUAAUACCUAACACUAACAUAUGUAAUCUCCAUGCAUUAGAACUCUAUCAAAUAAGUCAAUAGACAUUCAAUUUCCAGGCAUUUUAUUCAAAACCUACGUGUCAAACGCUCGUUAGAAUAUAAACGCAUGGUUUUUCGCGAGAUGGUUUUCAACUUUUUGGUCAUAUAGGUUUAAGUUAACUGUAAGUUUGAAUUUGGAAGAGAUAAGUUUCAGUUUUUUAGCUUGUUUAAUGAUUAUAAGAAAAUUUAGUAUAUGCUUUAAAAAGAAGUGGAUCUAUGAAUAUUUUUUUGUGGUUUUUGUUUAGUACGCAAUUAAACUCGUCCCAUUUUUAUGGGUAGUAGCUAGCCAAAGUAGCUAAAUCCAUUAUUCCAAUUUUGGGGAUGAAAAGUGAAAAUUAUAGACUAUGAAAAGUGAAAAUUAUAGACUAACAUACCAUUGUUUGAUCACAGUAAGUUUCUUCUAAUUUCAAUCCACUAACCCUAACCCCAAUAAUGGUUAGGUUAGGAUUGAAAUCCGAACGAAUCAAGAAUCGAUGUCAUUGGUGUAGAGAUAUAUGAAUAUGAAAUGAAUUAAGAUUGAAAUCAUAAUGAGAACUAACAUCUAUCAAUGUAAAGAUAUAUAAAUAUGAAAUAGGAACCGAUACAAAAUUGUUUGUGUAUUGUCCAAUCUGACAUCCCUCGAUACAAAAUUGUUUAUUAAUUUAUGUACAUGGAAGUUUGGAACCCAGAUGACAACUACCUCAAAUUCAUGUUAAUCUUAAUAUCAACUUUUAAAUCAUAAUCAAUUUUAAAAUACAUGAACCAAAUUAUUUUUAAAAUUAUAGGAACCGAAUCGAUAUUGAAUGAAUGUAGUAAAUUUUAACGUUGAAUAAAAUAUAAUAAUUACAUUUUUAAAAGUAGUAAAAUAUUAAAACUAUUUAAUAUACUAAAAUUGAUCCAUAAUAUUUAAUACAGUAAAAUUGAUCCAAUUUUUUAAAAAGUAAUUUUCUUUGCUAUAUAUAAAAAUUCCCCAUAAAUGAACCUAAUUAAGAAAAGGUAAAAAUGAUAAAUACAUAAAUAUUUAAUUAUUUCUAUAGGAAAACAUAAUUAUUCAAAAUUAAUAGUUAAUUCAUUAAUUAUUUCUUCCUCAAACCCUACGCACAAAAACUCCUUCCCGUUAGUUUUGCGUCUUUAGCCCCUUGGCCUACGCUCCAAGCACCUGUUGCCGCCAGCAACGCAUCGCGCCACCGACUGGCUCUGCCUCUGUUCGAUCCUGGGCCAUCCAAGCGUAUCCGGAAAGUUGCCCGAAACUUCACUCUCCAUCUCUCUCUACGAUCCGUUCCAUCACAGCCGCGCGUCGCCAAUCUCCAUCCAGCCAUCGCCACCACUACCAUUCGCCGGAUUCCGCGUUCGCCUGCCGUCGUCCACGUUCGUUGCCUCUAUCGCCGGGUUCUUUGGUUUUGGUAGGUUAGUUCCUUUUGAAAUGGAGUUUUUGAGUUUUCUUGAGGUUUUUGGAAUACCUAUUUAGUUUUGACAUGAAAUUUAUACCACCCACAGUGUCUUAGUCUGUUUUCCAGCAGACUCAGAAGUUGUUUCAAAGGAAUUUUAGUAAGUGUUAAGGUUUUGAAACCCUUUUUGGUUGAUUAUUAUUGCUGGAAAUUUGUUCUAUAAUCCUUAAUUAAGACUUAUGCAUAGGUUGGAGUCUUUUUGUGUAGUAAUAAAUUGGAUUUGGAUUAAGCUCCGAUUUUAGGUAUGUCAUUUCGAGACUCUUUGGAAUGAAGUUGUGUUUGGACUUAGACCCUAAGUGGUUAAAUUUUAAAUCUAGUCCAUGCUCUAGCCUAAAACAGAGUUUGUUUUGCUUGAAUUGAAUGUUCGGGCUUACCCUCAAGAUAAGUAGUACUGGAAACACCUUGCGCCAGACAAGUUAAGUUUAAAAUGUUAAUUUUGGCUUUGGCAAACAUUUUUUAGAAAAUUCCAUGUUAUGCUUUCUUCAUGAUUGAAGAGAUUUUAUAAGCAUGUUAUAGAUUUAUAUGAGCUAUUAUGACACGAUCUUACGAUAUAGGACACAUUUAUUGUAUGUUUCAUGCUAGUUCAGUUUAUUGACAAUUGCCCUCCUACCCGUAGCUAUGUACACCUCAGAUUCAGUUUGUGUGCGCCUUUGGGUCGACCAGUUAUGUGUGCCUUUGGGUCCAGUAGAUUUAGAUUAUGUUCCGUUGGAUUCACUAGUUUGUGUUUCUACAGGUUCAUCAAUUACCACGUACAUCUCACCUACAAUAUGACAAUUUAAAUUGUUCACUUAGAUAACAGUCCAGCUCAACUUUAAUACCUCAGAUUAGGUCCCACCAUUCAGAAAAUACAGUUCAUGUUUGUGCUUGCAUACCAUGACCCCGAUAGUGAAAUAGUGAAGUUACUUAUUGAGUAUUUUAAAUACUCAACCUUUUCUCUCAAAUGGGACUGGCAGAGCUGCAGAGUGAGUGCACGUCCUAGAGGUGUUAGAGACAUGAUCGAGUAUUACCUUCUCAACCCAUUUGUGGAAGAGAAAGCCAGGUUUCUUUGGAAUGCCCGUACAUGUGCGAUAUUAUGGAGCUUGUGGAGGGAACAAAAUAAUAGAAUUUUUAGGGGUACUGAGAGGGAUUCUAGAGAUCUUUGGUUCCUCGUUCAUCAUUAUGUCUCACUUUGGGCUUCAACUUGGAAGCUUUUUGCUAACUACUCUUUGGGAUUUAUUUUUAUUAGUUGGGAUCCUUUUUUGUUAUGGGGUUUUUUCCAGGGUUGGUAUAGGCCGACCCUGUUCUUGUACUUUUUCAUUGUUCUCAAUGAAGCGUUUCUCUCUUUAAAAAAAUACUCACCUUUUCUUAAAAUGUUCAUCCUGUAAAGACAAGAACAUACUAGAUGCUUGACGAGGAGGUUUGUCGAAGGUGCCAUAUGGGACUAGAGAGUUGCUUUCGCUCAGUGUCAUUUCAUGAAAAAGUUUUAAAUUUAAAUGUUUUAAUUAAAUUAAAUUAUUUAUUUUAAUCAACGUUUUACGGAUCCCAAAACUUUUAUUUGCAAAUUAUGUUAUUUUGCGAUGGUUUACUUAUUUAUAAAAGUUUUUACUUUUUAGUUAAAUAGUCAACUAGUUUUGGUUUAAAAUCUCUUGCAUGGUUGUGAUGACCCAAUAAUAGUUCCUAGAAAGUUGGAUCAUUACCAAUAGUGGGGUUACUUACUGGGUGUUCUUAAUAUUCAUUAUUUUCCUAAAAUUACUGCUCUCAGGUCAUGGCAAGGUGGACCUAAGCAAUCAACAUGGUUUUGUUGAAGUGCGGCCGUGACUGACUUAGAGUAGUUUAACUAUUUUCGAAGCCUGAAAAGGUUGGAUUGUGGUUAUGUAAAUGGUUUUUGUCACUGAUGUUGAGGCAACCCCAGAUGUGCCCUAGGCGAGGCGUCUGGGGUCUUUCGGCCUUCCUGUAAGUCAAGGUGAGUGCCUUCAAUCAGGUGCUCAUCUUACUGGGUCUUGUGCACUUACUGGCUCCCGAUAAAUGCACAUUUGUUUUAUUUUAUAAAUUUAAUAAUAAUAACAAUAAUAGAAAGAAAAAUACUCAGAGGUACACAAAAUCUGAUCCCUAAAUACCCACAAAAGGGUCAAUGAAAUGCCAUGCAACAAACGUCAAUUUGAUUUUCAAACUCUUCUUAGACAGUCUGUGAUUUUGCAUGCUUUUCAAUCGAACUCUUCAUCUUCCUCGUUUGACUUCACGUUCAAAAACUUUUGUUCCCAACUUCUUCUUCAAUUCACGUUCUUCCUAUGUGCAAUUCACGUUCUUCCUAUGUGCUUCUACUAACAUGAUUUGGAGCUUCAGAAUUUUUUCUUCAGUAGCUUUUGUCUUCGUUUGACUGCAUAUUCAUUAUUUGAUUGAUUUGUCUCUUUCUUCUUCAUCUUCCUUCUUUUUUGACUUCUUGCCGAGUAGUUGGUUCAGAAGUGGGGUCUAAUGAAAUCUUUAACUUUUAAAUCAUUUUUCCUUUCUUUAAUCGAGUCUUCAAUUUAAAUAAUUAAAACAUAAAAUAAUAAUUAUAUUAUUAUUUAAUCUAUUGUAUUAUAAAUCUGAAACUUGUAUUAUUUUCAUUCAUACUUAAUUAUAUUAUUAUAUAAUCUUUAUUGGACGAAGAAGAGAAGAAUAGCAAAGUAGGAAUACUAGAUGAGGCCUUAAGUUGAGAUAUAGAUGAUGGCAAUAAUUAUUUAAUCUUAAUUGAACAUUAUGUUUUACGUUUGUUUAUUUUUUUGGUUCAUUGUUGUUACUUUGUGACUUAAUGGUGUUUUGUAAGUACUAGGAGUCUAGGACUGGACUAUUAUUGAAUUUUUUUUGACAUGUUUAAGUUUUUUCUAUUUGGUAUUGAUAGGGCUUUGGUAUUUGGAUAUUCCAAAUAUAGGCUCUCUAUAUAUAUAACUUAUUUUUUUAUUUAUCCAUUGCGUUUUGCUUCACUCAGACCUUGCCUUUUCGUCACCUUAGGCAUUGAUGCGAUUACAGUGCUUAUCGCCUUGAGGUGCGCCUUGUGCUUUGAAAACAUUGAUUUUUGUGUUGGGUUAUUUGUCUAUUCUAUAGAAUCUGUCUUAUUUCCAGGUUUUCCUUUGCUUUGCUUUUGUAAAGCAAAAUUUUAUUUCUUUCAAAUCUAAUAGCCUUAUAUGGUUUUUGGUUCGUUCUUUGGAAAUUGAGCUAUUCUAGUUCUUGUCUAAUGUUGGGUUGUUUCAGGUAUGUUUUGCUCACACAGCCAUGUCUCUCCGCAACCAUGUUGAUGAAAUUGACGUUGAGCAUCCUGCUGACAAGGAAGAUGGUGUGGUUGAUGAGGACAUGGAAGUUCUUCAGAGAGCCUAUAGGCUUGCUGGUGUUAAUCCUGAGGAUUAUAUUAAUCCCAGGUUGUCAUCACCUGCUGCCGGAGAUGCUGAUCCUGGUUCUGAUUCUGAUGAUGUUGAUGAUUUCGAACUUCUUCGAGAUAUUCAGAAUCGGUUCUCGAUUUUGGCUGAUGAGCAGCCGCAGAGUACACCAGUGUCUGCAGACGAGGAGGAAGAUGAAUUUGAGAUGCUUCGUUCAAUACAGCGGCGCUUUGCAGCGUAUGAAAGUGGUAAGUUAUUCGUAAUUGUAAAUAUUGAUCUAUAACUGUCUUGUUUUAUUGGCUUAUAUGACUUGUUCUUGAAGUUCCUUGCUUGUGAUAUUAAUCACUCAUUCCGAGCUGCCCACUUUAUAUGGCAUUUUCCAGUGGCUUUGGGUUACUCGGGAAGAAUUGUACGUUCCUUCCCCAAUCUAGGUUUAGUUCAUGUUUCUUCACUGCAAGUCUUCUGACUUGUUGAUUGAUGUUUCAUAUUACUUUCUUGUGAUCUGAUUACAGAUAUUUUCUCUAAUAUUCUUUUACAAUUCUUGUUUUAUCUCUAUUUCUUGCAAGUUUUCUUUUGGUAAAAGUAAAAUUUCAUUGACAAAUGAAAUCAAGGUAGAACCCCAAACACCAAAAGAUCUUGUAUUUUUCGUUUUUUAGUUUACUAGAGGUUACUAUUAUUUACUCUUUUGAUUGAAUGGGUGAAAUUAGUUCAAAAUUACUUCGGUUAGUCAUACGUCUUGCGCGAAUUGUGGCAUUUACGUGGUAGCUUCCUAAGCACCUUCACUCCUAAGAUGGCCAAGUGCUAGUGUCAGACACGUUUCGGAUACCAACAUGCCCCAGACACAUCUCCGACAUGCUAACUGGCAUGUCAAUUGUUUUAUUAUUAUUUUCUUAAUUUCCGACACGGCCUUGACAUGCCAAUGACAUAGGUGACACACAACUGAAAAAAGAUAAUUAAAGCUGAUUAGAAAAAGCCCAAAUAAGCACGACCCACCAUAUUAGGCCCUUUUUUCUUAAUUCUAUUUUUUGUUUUGAACCCUUCAACAUUUUGCUCCAUUUCUCCACCUUUUUCAUGCUCUCCUUUUUCUUGCGGCCCAAACUCUGCCGCCCUAUUCUGCUUUCUGGUUGUUGGCCCACCCUCUUGCCACUGGCGAGAACAUCCAUCGGCAGUGACUCCCUUGAGCUCCCCAAAGUUGUCGUGCUCCUUGCUGGUUUUUUACUCUCCUUCAUUUUUAUUUUAUAUUAAUUUUUAUUUUUCAUGCUGUGUUGAGUCCAAAACUCAUUUUUUUCGACAAAAUAUUUUUUGGCUGACCACUGGUUUUUUCUACCCUUUUAUUUAUUUUUUUUAGUCCACAACUCAUUUUUUCUUUCAACAAAAUAUUUGUGAGCCUCACCUCCUAGGCGAGGCACUAGGCCUACCUCUUGAGUCUAGGUGCACGCUCGAGAGGGUUUUUAAAAUACUGAUAACAACAUACAAACAAAAAGAGACAUUAAGGGUGUGCUUGACCCAAGAAGUUGAGAAGUAGGAGUUGUUCACCCCAGUCCUUGUUUGGCCCAAAGAGUUUGUGGGCCCACCACAAAAAAAUAUCAAUUUUAUACCUUAUCAACUCCUUACAUUGUGGACCUUAGAGUUCACAACUCUCCAGAGUCACAACUCCUUAGAACUGACUAUUCUAUCCCUUGCCCCAAACAUUCCCUAAGUUCUAGUUACAUUUCUUCCCAAAAUCCUAGGGGGUGUUUGGGGUAUUGAGUUGAGUUAUGAAAUUUGGAAUUCAUAUGUUGAAGAUAGGAAGUUUAUGUUGGAGUGAAGAGUUGUAAAAUGAAGUUUCUUGAUAAACGUGAAAAAUAGAGAAAGAGAGGAAGAUGGAGUUCCUCAAUAAAUGUGCUAACUUUCAAUAGUAUUUAUUUUUAAUAUUUGGUUGUUUAACAUUGUCUUAUGAAAGUCUUAUUUUUUUUUGGGAUAAGAAUUAAUAUUGGCAUGUUUAAUAUUACCUUAUGAACAUAAGUUAGUGGACCAAACACCUCCUUGCUUUGCCUUUCAAUUUCCAAGCGUUUAGACCUUCAAAGUGCCAAUCUUCUCUCGUCCAAGGAAGACAAGUCACAGUCCCCAACUUCUAAAAGAAAAAUUACAAUCUAUAGCUACAGGUGGUCAAUGUCUUCCACCACUCCCAAACACAAUCUAUAGCUAGAUGGAGUGAAGGCUCAAGAUCUAAAACUUUCUUUGGAGCUUAUCAUUUGUCAUAAAGGCUUCUCAAAGCCAUUGACUAGGGAGGAUUUUUAUUUUCUUCAGGCAUUUGUUUCUCCAAACCAACUUAAUUUGGUGGAUUUAAGCCUUGCUAGGGAUGUUGGAAAGACUUGAGAAAAUCAAACUUGUUGAAUAAUUUCCAUAUCCAUGGAGGGAUCACAAAUCACAUAUAGAUCUGGAAAGCAAGAUUGUGUGGAGGCUCAAUCAAUCCAUGUCUUCCCAAAAAUGUAUUUGAUUAGUACCCAUGCCAACUUGCACUUUAGCAAACCAAAGAAAGAAAGAAAGAUUGUUGUCAAUGUCCACCUGUGGUCUGUUUUUUUUCUCUUCUUAAUCACUCCGUAGCCAUAUGCAUGAUGGGAUUUUCGUUCUCCUUAGGAGGUCUUGUGAAAGAAACUUUAGAAUCUUCCAUGAUAAAGAAACUAACAACGAUUUUUCUAAUUGGUUGCCCUUUUUGUUUCUACUUGGUUCUAUACCUCUAAAUUUUUUCGUAAUUAUGGCCUAACCCGAAUUUAUAUUAGUUGGGCUCUUAUUUGUAAGCUGUUAUGUGGGAUACCUUAUUUCCCCCUCUUUGUGUGUCUUUUCUCUUUGACAAUGAAGGUUAUGUUACGAAAAAAAAGAAAAAAAAUCUCCAUGGUCAUGUCCGUUGGAGUUCACUCCAUAAAUACUAGAUAUAACAUUCUUCAAAAGGGGUUUCUGUUCUUGUGUGAGCCUCCAAAUCCACUUGGUGAGCAUAGAAGAGCUUUGGUGAUUGAUAAAAAAUCCACUUCCAGGCCCCCGAAGCAACAUAUCCAAAGUUGCCCAUCUCCUUUUGACCAGGUUGCAAUGUGACCGCACCCUCUUUUGAAGGAAGGAGGCUCCUUAUAUGCAUUGUUUUAUCUAUUCUGCAACUUGUUUCACUUAAGCUCUAAAUAUUUUUUGUUCUUUAAGAAAAGUCAUGGAAUUAGAAAAUUUUGAUUUAACUAUUUCUCAAUAUGUAUUGGAAGUUUCCUUUUAAGGGUCUUUUUCCCUCUUACCAUUUCUCAAGAUAUGUAACUUAUUUGCAGAUACUUUGAGCAAUAAACCCAAUCAGUCUCGUGACUAUGUUGGAUCUCUGAAGUUGGAUUCUGACGACAUAGCUGUUGAGAGCCAGACAUCCUCAAAACGGUACUAACAUAUUGAAUAACAUGCAAUACUAAUACUUCUUAGCAAUAUUUUGGUGCAAAAUAGCUUCUUCCUAAUGAUAGUGUUGUAUGUCUCUAAGGAAUUACUGUCUUGUGAAUACCAAUUUUGUAGGCCAUCCAUGCUAGCCUUUGAAAAGGGAAGCUUGCCAAAGGCCGCGUUGGCAUUUGUUGAUGCCAUCAAGAAGAAUAGGUCCCAGCAGAAGUUUAUUCGUAGUAAGAUGAUUCAUCUUGAAGCUAGAAUUGAGGAGAACAAAAAGCUCAGAAAACGUUGCAAAAUUCUCAAAGAUUUCCAGGGUUCAUGUAAGCGAAGAACAAGUUGUGCACUGUCUCAAAUGAUAGAUCCUCGAGUCCAGUUAAUUUCAGCUGCAAAACCACAAGCAAAGGAUUCAUCAAAGGUUAGUUAAUAUUUUAUGCUCAUGAGUCUAUUACUUUUGAAUUAUUUGUACUUCCACAUUUACAAGUAUGGAUUUGUUUAUUAUUUGUUUACAGCUUUGAUAAAUAUGUAUAUCAACAGUUUUCAUUAAUUUGAUAGGAGUCAUGUAGGCAAUCUUAUCAUCUCAAGGCACCCUGUUUGAGUUUCAUAGCCAAAAGACUAUUGGAAAGAGCUAGAUGAGCACUGGGAUAGACUCAUUGAUUUUGUGCCAUUGGUUUUUCAUUUAGGGUGUUCGGCAACUUGAGUAAUUUGGGAGAGUUGGGUUGUGUGGGUAAAAAAAAAAAACCAACCCCCUGUUUGGUUGACCAAUAGUUAAAGAUGUUUACUACUUCGUUAUUCACAUCAACUCAAAUUUCUCACCAAAAUACUCACAUUUCUCACAUCGUUAUUCGUGUCAACUCACCUGAUAAUUUUCUUAUAAUUAUUACCAACUCAACUUAACUCUUUCUUUUUAUCACUAACCAAACGUCCCCUUAAUAGAAAGCCUGCCCUAUAACUAUAACAUUGCAAGAAAUCUUUUCAAACAAGUAUACAAAUCAAAGUAUUGUGGAAUUGAAAUAUUGACAAAAAAAAAAAAAGAAAAGAAAAGAAAAGAAAGAAAGCUACCCCAGGCAAAUCCUAAAUUCUUUAGAAGGAUGUUUAAUCCUUUCAAAUAUUUCUCUGCAUGGAACUUGCUUUUCAUAAAAUUGUUUUAGCUUUUAUCUAUUCAAAACCCCAGAAGCUAGUUGAAUAAAUUUUUUUUAGCUUUCUUCUUCAGCUCCCUGCCAUAUGCCGCAAAGCAGCUUUAAAGUGUUGUUUUUUGCUAAUAAAUUGAGAGUCCGUGCCGUGAAGCCACCUGAAUCCCAUAGUUCUCUUUUUUUCUUUUGCACCUGUUUGUGCUUCUCCUUUUGACUCUUAUGUGUUAUUAUUUUGUUUCUGCAGAAGGACAAACGACUAUCUGGAAUGUAUUAUGGCCCGGAUGAGAAUUCUCAUGUUGCGUGUUACAGAAUGGGAUUGGCAAAGUUCCCCCCUGUUGAUCGAAAGAAAUGGUCCAUUGUAGAAAGGGAGAAUCUAGGGAAGGGAAUAAGACAGCAGUUUCAGGAGAUGGUGCUUCAGAUUUCAGUGGAUCAAAUCAGGUAACUUUUUGUCUAUUGUGUUUGCUCAUGCACCAAUUUUUAGCAGUUGGAUGGAUAGGUAAUGAAUAUGUAUUACCAUGAUGCUAUGUGAGUCUUUCAUUCUUAUUAUUAUUUAAAUUUUAUUUAUUUUGAUACUUAACUAAAUGCCAAACCACUCUAAAAAUUUUAUAUGUUCAGAGAUCCCUUGAUUCUCCAUUUGGAAGGGUGGAUAGGGACCUUAGUGAGAUUUGGUUCUUCGUUUAAUUUUAUUUACUUUGUUGGGUUCAAUUUCAAAGAUAUUUUGUAAAUAUUUUAGAGGUAUUAUUUUUCAUAGUUGGAGUCUCUUUUUGUAGGCAGAGCUCCCUUCUUUUGUGGGUUUUUCUAAGCCCUCUAUCUUUAUUUUUCCUCAAGGGAAGUUGUUUUUAUUGAAUAAAUCAAUGAAAGCUGCAAAAAAAAAAAAAAGGUUUCUUUGGGUUACCACUGAGAGGCAUGCCUAAAUACUCAGGACGCUAGAUGUAGUAAACGAAACAACCCGACAUGUGUUCCACUGCUGAAACCUCAGAACUGCAGUUAUUAAGCCGAAUUAUGAUAGAUUUAAAAAUAUCAAACUUUUAAUCUCGACAGUAAAUUUGAACUGAAAUUGUUUUCCAAAUGGUUGCAUUCCAUUCUAAAAUUUCAAAACUUCACAUCCUAGAUAGUGGUGUUUGAAGACAUUGUUUCUAUGUUAUGUAUAUCUAUUUUCCUGCUCACAAAGACAAUAAGAUUAUAGAGAAGUUUAGGAAACUGUGUUUUUUCUCGAGGCUAAAUGUGGAUGGAGAGAAUUUUUUUUUUUUUCAAGUAGUAGAAGGGUUAUGACUGGAGAUUGGGGUGUAAUUGUUAUUUGUCUUUUGCUUGAUACUAUUGCAAAUAUGAUUGGAGAGUAGGAAAAAUUUUCAUGGGGGGAAAGGGUUGUGGCUGCAGAUUUGGGAUGCAAUUGUUCUUGGAGUGUUGUAUCCAUUUUAUUAUUAUUUGCUGGAUAAGAAGUUGCAUCUAAUUCUUUUUGUAACUAGUUAUCAUCUUUCCUGCAAGCUUGUUGGCUAUUUGUGACUCUUUGCUGUUUUGGGAUGAUUGUUUCUACUCAUCGUAUGUAAUCUAUAUAUUUGUUUUUACUGAGAUAGAGAGGGACGGUUGCUGAUUUGUCUUUCCCUUUUUGUUCUCCUGUUUUCAGAAGCCUUACUAAAAUUUUAUGGUAUUUGGCAGUGGGCCACAAGGAAUUUCUGGAGAUUCAGAUGAUUUGGAUAACAUUCUUGCAUCAAUAAAAGACCUUGACAUCGCUCCUGACAAGAUUAGGGAAUUUCUGCCAAAAGUUAAUUGGGACAAAUUGGCUUCCAUGUAUCUUCAGGGUCGCUCAGGUGCAGAAUGUGAAGCAAGGUAUGUACUUCCGGACUUCUUCUUUCUUUCUCCUUUUUUUUUUUUUUUUUUUUUUUUGUACAACAAGAUUUUCUUUAAAACUCUACAAUUUUAGUUUGCCUUUGCUUUACUUAGAAGAAAUGUGGUUGAAAUACUUUUUUUUUUACCUAUCUUUCUAUAAUUAAUCUCUAGUCAUUUAUGUAUACAUACAUAACAUAUUAUUUUAUAAAUCUAGUCUAGUUUUCCAUAAAUUUCAAUUUAAUCCUGUGUAAGUUCAUUUGACUGAUCUUUGAUUAAUUCCUUUAUGUCAAAAUUAAUUCGUUUCUUUCUUAUUUGAAAUGGCCUUCCUCUUAUUUAGAAAACCUUAUUAAAAUCUUAACAAUACAAUUUUAAAAUAAAUAUCUAGACGAUUACUUUUAAUAUUUAUGGAUAGCUUGGUCUCGCACUCACUUGUAAAACCUAAUAAAAGAAUAAAGGAUGAAGUUGAGACCUAUAUUUAUAUUUCCAGUUUAAUUGUGUUGUAGUAUUCUUGUUUGUUUUUGUUUUGUUGAUAGGGUUCAAAUUGAAAAUGAGAUAUAUGUAGCCUUUUUUUGGUGUAAAGUCCUUGUACUUUUGGUUUUGGUUCAACUUGGUCUCUAUACGUUAAAAAUGUUCAUUUUGGUUCCUAUACUUUUAAAAAAUGACUAUUUUGUUCCAUUCACUUAUUUUUUGCUUCAUUUUUAAGAGAUAAAAAUGGUUAAUUUUUGAAAGUCCAAGGACCAGAAAAUGAACCGAUCAUUUUGAGAGUAGAGGGACUAAGAUGAACCAAAGUUGAGAGUAUAGGGACCAACACGAACAUUUUGAACAUCGAGGGAGAAAGAUGAACCAAAGCCAAAAGUAGACGGACCAAACUAGUAUUCAACCCUUUCUUUUUGUUCUUUUUAGAAAGAAAUUUUAUGGAACAAAAAGUUCUGUAGAAAAUCCUUUCUCAAGAAGUUAGGCGCUUAAAUAAUAUUUUAGCUGUUAACCACACGAAUUUGAGACUAAUUUGUAUGUCACAGAUUUCCUCAACCAGACUUUAAGGAAAUUGUGUAUUGGUGACGGUAUUACUUUACCUUUAAUUUGGUAGAUUAUUUAUUUUUUAAAUACAGAGGGUUUUGCUAUUGGUAUAAAUCUGUUCAGUUCUUGACCUAGUCCAUAUUGAUUUUCUUUGAAGAUGUCAACUACAAUCAGCAUCGCAGAGGUCUAUGACAAUCAUCAUCACAGAUAUAUUGACCAUAACUGGUUUUGAAUAAUAGUGGAAGGCCUUCAUAUUAUAGUACAGGUGGGACCAACUUGUAACAAAUGCCUUAUUCAGACAGUGGUCAUUAUUAUGUCUGUGAUGACAAUCGUCACAGACAACUGUGAUGUCUUGUAUUUCCUUGAAUGACAUGUUUUUGCUAUAUAGUUUCUGACUUAAUGAUUGUAUUUGCUAAUCCAUGUAGAUGGUUGAAUUUUGAAGACCCCCUAAUUAAUCGAGAUCCAUGGACUACAAGUGAGGAUAAAAGUCUUUUGUUUACUAUCCAACAGAAGGGGUUGAAUAACUGGAUUGAGAUGGCAGUUUCAUUGGGCACAAACAGAACUCCUUUUCAGUGCCUGUCUCGGUAUCAAAGAAGUUUAAAUGCUUCCAUAUUAAAGAGGGAGUGGACCAAAGAGGAGGAUGAUAGACUUCGAUCUGCUGUUGCUACAUUUGGCGUGAGAGAUUGGCAGGCAGUAGCUUCUACUUUGGAAGGACGAGCUGGCACACAGUGCUCUAAUAGGUUGAUCUUAUUUACAAUAUCUGACUGGUUCAUUUUUGCCUGUAUUACUUUAAUCUUUUCUCUUAGUGAAAUAAAAUGUUCAUAGAAUGGGCUUGAGAUGUUUAGAGAGUUUUGACCAUGUCAAUAGGCUUAAGUUUUCAAUUUAACCCAACUACAUUGAAAUAUAAAAGAUCAAAAAGUAAAUAAUUAGAAAAUAAGAACUUUCCAAUUCAAACUAAAAGAUGUGAAAGUUUCCUUAAUCCCUCUAUUUUUUUUGCUUAGCUUCGACUUAUUUUUUUUUAUUGUACUUUUAGUUUUUAUUUUGAGUUUCUUGUAUUUUGAUCAUUAACCUUUUUUCACUAUAUCAAUAAAAGGUCUCAUUUCCAUUUUAGAAAAGAUAAGAGUUGCAAGAGGUAUUUGGAAUCUCCCUUCUUGUGAUUAUACUAACUCAAGCCUAAAACAAUCUGAAGUAUUCUACAUCCUCCUUUGUCCUCCCCUCUAUUCAUAACUAAAAUACUAAGAACCUCUCUAACUAAUCACGAAUAUGUAAGUAUCUUGUAUCCCAAUGAUACUCUAAUAACAGAUCCUCUAACUAUUUAGAAGGGGUUCUGUUAGAUACCUAGAUUAGUACAGGGUUAGGAGUAUAAGGGUAAUUGGAUAAGAUAGGAAGUUACUAGUAGUUAUUGUGUAAAGGUGGUUACUAGUAGUUAUUCUGUAAGUGGUUACUAGGGUGAUUACAACUUGUUAUAAAUCAGGGAGUGUAAGUGAAAGGGGGUGGAGUGAUCUAGGGCUUGAGUGAGAGUACUCAAGAGGGAGGUUCCAUGUGCCAUAAUAAUAAAUUCAGAUCUUGUUCUAGUUAGGAAGUAUCCUGAUAGGUUCAUGAAUGACCUAAAUCAUAUCUGAAUAGGACACCUUGAGGAUAUGAUGGUUUAGUUAAGAAAGGCUAUUAAUAGAGUUGAUAAUUACUGCCUAUACUCACAAGAUGCACUUUCCAUUUUGUUGGCUCAGUCAUAAGCUCCAAAGUUAAGUGUGCUGCCUUAGAGCAAUUCUAUGUUAGGUCACCUUAUGAGAAUUUUUCUAGGAUGCAUGUGAGAGGGCAAAACAUGUUGAAAUAAUAUGUGUUGGUCCAUGGCGAUGGUUUUCACUCUUAGAAGAAGCACUUGAAAGGACUCAUGUUGGUAUGUGAGGAUAUACUUCACUCUUCGGAGCACUUCAAGUCAAGUAAUGGUGUUGGUGGGUCUUUGCAAGGAAAUCCUCAGCCAUUAGGUUCUAAAUAUGGAUUAUGAAUCAUGGUUCCAAUUCUGAGUGUGGGGAAUUACACUUUUUUGUUGUUUGUUUGAAUACAACAAUUGUGAGGAGGAGGGAUUGGACCUCUUGCCUUUAGGAUGACAUUUCAUGUCGUUACGCUUUAGCUAAGCUCACUUUGCAUGGUGCGCUACACCUAAUAUUCCAAUAAUGCUUUGAUACUAUAACCACACGUCUAACUAAUUGUUAAUUUUUUUAUAAGAACUCUAACUAUUUAUUGAUAUACCAUUAAUAUCUCAAAAAUACUGUAAUAGCGUUUCUAUAAUAAUCUUUCCCAUUAUAUUUUAUUCACUUUCAGUUGUAUCUUUGGGUGAAAAAAAAAACGUGUAUGGAAACACCAAGUUAUUUGAAUACUGUGGUCUCAAUCGGAGUGUUGCUCUGUGUCAUAUGGUUGGUUUUAUAUCGCAGUCAUUCAAUUGCUAUAAUGAAUUAUUUCUUCUGUUAUGCAGGUGGAAAAAAUCCCUUGACCCAGCUAGGACAAGAAAAGGUUAUUUCACUCCAGAUGAAGACAUUCGCUUGAAAAUUGCUGUACUGCUCUUUGGGCCCAAAAAUUGGAACAAGAAAGCAGAGUUUUUGCCUGGUCGGAAUCAAGUUCAAUGCAGAGAAAGGUGUGUUAAGUUGACCUAUUUUAUGCCUUGUUUUUAUCUUUUAUUAUUAUUUUGGGGCGAGAUUCCAGAAACUAGACACCCUGGAAUCGGCUUUUUGAUUUAUAUGGAUGGUUCAGCCAAAUAACCAACAAUCUUUUCCACUCCACCAUCUUUAAUUAUUUUAACGUCUCCCUAACCAUAGUAUAAAAGAUGCUUAAUGCACUAACUAGUAACAAGUUAUUUGCUCCUAUUUGACUUAUUAUUCAUUGUGAUGGCAGAUGGUUUAAUUGUUUAGAUCCUUCCUUGAGAAGAUGUGAGUGGACAGAAGAGGAGGAUUUAAGGCUGGAGAUAGCAAUUCAGGAACAUGGAUAUAGCUGGGCUAAGGUAGCUGCAUGUGUGCCAUCACGUACAGAUAAUGAGUGUCGGAGGUAUUGGUGUACGGAUUAGUUUGAUAAUUCCUGUGAUUUGAAAGCCUGUUAUCUUGUUUCUAAAUCAUAUUGUUCUUCGUAACAGGAGAUGGAAGAAGUUAUUUCCCGAUGAAGUUCCUUUGCUCCAGGAAGCUAGAAAGAUUCAGAAGGCUGCUCUUAUUAGCAACUUUGUUGAUAGGGAAACAGAGCGUCCUGCUCUUGGUCCUGCUGACUUUCGACCCAGGCCAAAUACAGAUUCAUUAUGUAACACUGAUGGUCCAAUACCUGCCCCAAAAAGAAAUGUGAAAACAAGGUUAGUUUGAAAGUGACCCUUUAAUUUAUGUCUUCUACUCAAAAUCUUUUUUCUCUCUCUCUCUCUAUAUUUGUUCGUUUUGAUUUUAAGAUGCUGGUUUUGACUUGCAAUACCUUGGUCUACAGAAAGAUGCCAGUGUCAAGGAAUGAAAAGAGUGCUACUGGGUAGGUUAUGACUUUCCUUGAUCUAUCGUCCUGCUGUCUUAUUCUUUUCGGUUUGUUUUUUCCUAAAAGAAAUCUAAGCAGGGAUUGAAGCUCUUUUUAAUUCUUUCUUCAUUUUUGCUACAGUGAUGCUCCAAAGAAGAGGAAAUCAAAUUAUCAAAGGUUUCAGACUGAUGCAACUGCUCAGGUGGGUAUUGCAUAUAAUACCUCUUUUGUCCCAGAAGAGGUUCAAUCUUCAAAGCCUCAAAGAAAACGAAAUAGACGUGGAGCUUAUACUGCAAAGAGAAUAGGGGUACCGGAACUACGUUCUGACAGCGAGUGGUGUGCUAAACAGAAUUUGGACACUGAGAGCCUUGGGUUGCAGCUGAAUAGUAAGGAAUCUGAGAGGAGCAACAGUAACUGUACCGAGACUGUUGAUGAGAAUAUUAUGGAAGUUCUUGAGAACAAAGUUGCAGAGAAGCUUACUGAAGAAAAUGCAUGCUUCUCAGAACCAGAAAAAAAUCAAAACUCAACCGGAUCUUCUGGAGUCUCAGUAUUGUCAGAAAUGACUAACGACUUGGUUGACUAUAAUCCCUCUAUCCUCACAGAUACAACAUUGUUUGCUAGUACUACUGUGGAUGAUAUUGAAGAAUUGAAGGGGAAGAGUGCUGCAGACAGGGAUUUGGAUGACAGUAAUAGUUUCUCGUUAGCACACAGUUGCUUAGAACUCCGGACAGUUGACAGUGAAGGCGUAGACAGUUAUUCUGUGGACGAAUAUACAGCUAAGAGCAAUGGGGUUUGUAAUCCCACCCAAGGCAGAAGGAAGAAAAAUAGCAAAACAUCAAAUAACAGCCAUGAUAAUUUGCUUAUUCCUCGUCAACAAAUUGUGCAAGAGACAUUGGGAACGAAGAAGCCUCUUCAUCAUAAUCAAUCAAAGAAGAGAAAACAUAGCAAUACAGGUCCAAGUACGUUAAAAACAUCGGAGGCAGUUGAGGAGGUUGAUGACUGCACUCUCGUGGGGUUCUUGCAAAAAAGAUUGAAGAGGACGGCAAUGACACAUAACGAGACAGUUGAUUGCAGUUCUAAUGCUCCUUUAAAAGUUGAUAAUGACGAUAAUGAGCCUACCAUUGCCUCGUUUCUUAAUAAAUUGAAGAGAAAAAAGCAUCAGCGGCCUAGUGGUGAUGAGUUAAAUUAAGGUAGGAUUACAUAGUUUUGUUGCAUUUUUGGGAUGCCUCAGCAACAUCACAUUGAAUCUCGGAAGAAGGUUGAUGGAAGGCUCUGUACAAAUGAAGCUUCCAGGGCUGCAAAUGGCUAAAUGCUCAACCGUACGUUUGAUUCUAUGGUUGACACAUUUUUGUUUCAUGAUUUAGCUAAGAGGGCUUUAGCAAUUUUGUUUUGUUAUGGUUGAUUUCAUCUUUUUUUUUCCCUCUUCUAAUUUGUUCAUUUUUUUUGAGAAGGUUGGAUAAUCUUCUCUUUGUACAUUCAUAUCACAAUCUUAAUGAAAUUAUGAGGUAUGAAUAGGUUUGAGUUAUUUUCUUUCUUUUUCAUUUUUCAUAGUUGUCCAUGCUUAUAAAGUUUAGAUAAUUGGACUGUAUAGCUGUUUCUAAGGUUUCCUAUUUUGAUAGAAAAUCUUUUAACUCUCCAACAUACACAUAGGAACCAAAUUUUCUUUUACUAGAUUUAAAUCUUUAAAUAUCUGUUUUUUAAUGUAUUGUAAUGAACUAAAUAGUUACUGGUAAUGAUAUUUGUAAACAUUUUUAGUAGCUUUUUUACUGUGUUCUUUUUAAAGUAUCAUGUUUUUAUUUUUAACAGAUUCCGAAAGGUUCAAGUAUAUAAUAUGAAUUUUUACAUUCAUUUUUUAUAUUUAAAAAUGUUCUAAAAAUUAAUUUUGAAUCUUCAAUUCAAAUAUAAUUUAAAAUGUGAAACCAGUUCAACCCUAAUCUACUAAAUAAUUACAUAAACCAAUGUCAACUAACAACGGUGAUGGUGAAUGUCACUUCACCCCAAAAAACCACUUUUCUCAAAACUCGGAGAAGCCUACCUCUCUCCCAAGGUACUUGGGAUUAGUAACGAAGAAGACGUAGAUAAUUAUUAGAUGAUUAUUGUAGGUAACUAAAACGUGGUUACUAAAUAAAUAUGAUAAGACAUUAGAUAUUUAUUAUCGUUAUUUUAUUUAUUCAAUAACUUACUUUUAUUUACUUGAUCCAACUUAAUCUAUAAAUCAUGCCUAGGAGAAAAAUAUUCUUCAUGCAAACGUGUCAAAAAAGUUGACAAAACAUUAUGUCUAGAGACAAAAAGUGCUUUCUCGAUUGUUCUUGUUAAUAUGGCCCAACAAAAAACAAUGAAUGAAAGAAAGAAAGGUUAAAUUUGUAAGCAUAGAUAUUGGAUAUCCAUAUAGAUUAUUUAAUAUGGAUAUGAGUACGGAUUUCACUAGAAACUUAGCAUAGAAAGAGAAAAAUGUGAACUUUUUAAUUACAAAUAUCAACCUAAAUAGCGAUAUAGAUUAUUGACAUUGAUGAUAACUAUAGAUAUUUAUUAUUAAUAUAAACAUAUGGGUGUGAAACUGGUUCUAGAGUCACAAUUUAGGCUAAAUUCUCCAAGUAAAUACAUAGUUAAACCUUUAGUUUGUUGCAACUUUCAUUUCUAAUUUAAGUAUUAAAGUUUGUGAGAUCUUCCUCUUUAUUGUUGGUGUUCAAUGAAAUGUUAGGUGGUAUGUCAUUGUCAUUCAAAAUUUUUCCAACCACCGCUAUCAUAAAGUUUCAAACAAAGUUGUGAAGGAAAAAAGAAAAAGAGAAAAAAGUUAGAAUAAUGAACACGAAACGUACAUAUAAACUAGGAGGAAAUUCCUUAUAAGAUAUGAUAUUAAAUUAAACAAGAAAAAUGACAUUCUUACUUACAUAGUGGAAUUUUAUGAUAAUGUUGGCACAUUCGUUCUAUAUAUCUUUGAAUAUUUUUUCAAAGGAAUAAACGAAUAAGAAACAAAUGCAACCAUAAAUCACUUUUGUUUAUUACAAUACUUAAGAAAUAACGUUAUUUAACAUUAUCAUAUUGUUUGAACUAAACUUACUUUAGCAAGAUCAUGACAACUCAGUACAUCGUCCUAUAUAUAAAAAAUAUUUUUCUAUAUGAUAUAAAAAUUAAAUAUUUCAUCCUUACAUAUAUUAAUUUUCAUUUGGUUGAAAAACCUAAAUUGUUAGAAUGAAUUUAAAUCCAUCUUGUUAUACAAAACUCAUGUUACUAUAAAAUCAUAGAUGUGGAAAGAAACUUUUUAUUUCAAUUAUGUCAUUUUUUUCAUUACUAUUAUAGUGGUGAUUUGUGUACUUUAAACACAAAAACUAAUACUAAUGUAGUUAAUUACUAAAUUAAAUUAAUUUUUUUAGUUGUUUUACUAAUAAAAUGGUUGAGUGAAAUUUCAUUAUAAAGUAGUUAGAGGUACACAAAUAACUCUCCUCUAGUUAGGAAGGAACUCACAUUUUUCUCUAAUUAAUUCUCUUAUUAAAACCUUUCUCUUCCUCUUCCACUCUUUUCAUCUUUCUCUUAACUUUUAUCUCCCAACCAUUUACUCAUUUAUUGAUUCUUCUCUAUCUCCCAACCGUUCAAUUUCAUCUGCUUUGAAAAUUUUGAGUAUUAAUGUCUUGUUCUUUUCUUUCAUUCAUGCUUAUAAGUCAAAAAAAAAAAAAAAAAUUGGGAAGAAGAAAUCCAAAGUACAUUUUCUCAUGUUCCUUUUUAAUUUUUAAUUUUUGUUAUAUAUAUAUAUUUAUUUCUAUAUAUAAAUAUGUUUUUGCAUGUAUUUCUUGGUAGAUGUUUAAAUUAAGUAACCUUAAUUUUUGUUGUUGUUAGAAUGUAAACUUUUUGUUGUUAGAACGUAACCAUGAUAAUCUUGUAUACAUUGUAAAAGGAUGGAUACGUUCUUUGCUCAUGUUUUUUUUUAUAAUUAAUUUUUUUUAUUAGAGUUGCUUUAUUAAUAAAAUGGUAAAGUGUGCGUUUGCAUGAGAUUUCCAGAGAAAUUUGAUUCGUAAACUUGAACUUGUGUUGAUGUUGUAUUUUUAUUGAUUUGAUACGAUGUGGUUCGACCUUUAGAAUUUGAUCAUUUAAUUCUCUCUCGAUUGAAUGUUUACAUUUGAUUUGAGGAAACGAAACACGUGAUGUUCUUGAAGUUCAAAUGGGUUUCAAUCUUCGAGGGCGGGUUUCAAUCUUCGAGGGCGAUUGACUUCAGGAGUUAGGAGUCUUCUAACUUUUGGGAGAAUUCUCUCUCGACAUUAUGGAGUAAAAGAUUUCCAAAACCCUUACAAAUGUGGAGGAACCCUCUAUUUAUAGAGUUUCAUGGUGGGGUUUAUGGACUUGGGUCAUACUCAUGAGCACAUGGAUUUGGGUCAUAUUUAGCCUUUGUGUUCAACUAAGUUUAUUUUUGGUUUCAAUUGGACUUAGUCCAAGUAAAUAAUAUUUAAUUAAACAAAAAAUUAUUAACUUGAUUCAACGGUUAGAAAGAAAAUAGGAGACAUUGACCAAUUUAUGUUUUCAAUUUUAAUUUCGAAUACAUGUGAAUUUUUUAAAAUUAGUCUUAAAUUCAGUUAUUUGUAAUUUUCAUCAUUAAUUUAGUAAAUGAUGCGGCAAUUUGUGAUUGAUCUAAAAAAUUUUCUAUUCAACAACUACCCCUUUUCAAGGUUUAUGCACGUAUAUGGGUGAAUGAAUCUCGAAAAAGAUAAUUAUGAAGUCAAAAUACGAACAUUUUUUGCUCGAUUCAACAUAUCAAAGUAAUCAAACUAUGAAUUUAGUAUAUGAGUUUGAUUCAAAUUUGAAACAAGGGUUGUCUUGAGGAUGCACAAGAAUUCAGAAUGACCAAUUUUAAUAUGAGAUAAAAAGUAGGCCCUCAAUCUUCUUAUUUUCAUGUUUCCUUAAAUGUCUUGAUAAUUUGUCCUAUAUUUCUAGGACUAAUUAAACCUAAGAAGGUUUAGUGCAUUUUUUGUGGUUCUACUAUGUGCCUUAUGUCUAAAGUCUUAUUACGACGUAUGUUUAGGCUUUUAAUCCCAUGUAUGUUAGUGAGAUUCAUUUUUAACUUUAACUUUUUCAACCUUGAAACUUUACAAACAUACUAACUUAAAUGAUCAACUCAAAUUAGGAAGAUAAUAUAAGUUUCAACAGAAAAAACAGAUAAAAUUGAUCCGAUAUAGUUAUAUUAGUUAAGCCAAAAACACACAAUUGAAUCAAAUGCCAUGAGUUACAAUGUAACAAAAUAAUGAAAAUGAAGAAAAUAACACAAGGAAAAAUAGAGAGAAAUCUAGAAAAUUGUAACCUUGUGUGCUUGUACAAAAUUCACAUGGUGUAGGAGCAAGGUCACAUGAUCCUCUCACUCUACCUAUGUCACUAUUAAAUGCACCUACACUCACACAUCAAACCCUUUCUAAAGUUAGAAGGCCAACCCCAAAUCCCCUCAAAGUGAAGGAAAUCAUCCAACAUUCACAUCAACAUAACCAUUCAUAUUCAAAAUAAACUCAAAUACUAAACUCUUUGAGGGUAUUACCCCUUCCAAUCAAUAGCCAUACCAAAAGUUAACUAGACAACGCUACUCAUAUCUAACCGGAAAAUGUGUCAAGGGUCUUAAGCAAUUUCCACUACUACAAAUUUGAUAUUUCUUGCGGCAUACAAAUUAUGAUUUUUUUGAUGAUCAUGACAAAGGUCCGUCAAGAAAAAUAUUUUUCUUGAUACAAUGUUUACCUUGACAAUCGUGUACGUUAAGAAAAGUCUCAUUAUUUUCUUUGAUGGAUAAUAAACAUCACAGAUAAUAUAUUGGUUGAUUGAUAAUGCAUAUCAAGUUAGAUUUUCUUAGAUGAACUAUGAUGAAUUUUCUUGAUUUUCAAUGGCCAUCAUCGAAAAAAAUUAAUAUAUUUGUUUUGGAUUUCUGGAUGGAUUUAGAAUUUUUUUGAUGGGUCCAGGGUUUCUUAAUAAAGACCAAAGUCAAGGUCCAUAAACAAAAAUGAUAUCUUAAUGAACAUUGUCCAUUAAGAAAAAACUAUUUUUCUGGAAUCAUGAAAUUUAGACCGUCGUUAACCAACUCAGUAAACACGAUAUUCAUCAAUAAUAUUCUUAAAUUUUUACUAUUUUUUUCAAUUAUUACUUCCUAUUCAUCGAUAAUAUAAUAUUAAUUUUUUAAAAGUUAACUAUUGUAAUUAUGAUUAGAUUGAAAUAAAGGAUUUUAUCAAAAUUAAAUUAGUUAUUGUGUUCAACUUUAAUGAGUUAAUUGAAAGUUUGUAAUUUAAGAUUUUUAAAAUUUGUAGAAGCUGAUCAACAUGAGCUUAUAAUAGGUUUUUGAUGGUAUAUUUUGGUCAUCAAGAAAAUCAUUUUCUUGAUGGACUUUUAGUUUUCUUGAUAGGCAAAAAAAUCUGGAAGUUUUCUUUUUCUAUGACUAAUAUCAUCAAGAAAGAAUUUUUGAUGAUUAGUUUUUUUAAUAGUUGAACUUUCUUGAUGUCUACCUACUUGACGAGCAAAGAUCAUCAAAGAAAAAAGACCAAAUUUACGGUAGUAUCCAAACUGAGUCAAUAAUAUAAGGCAUAAAUACAUGCCUACUAUUACAAAUUAAAUUGAUGCAUGCACUUAAAUUAAUGUACCCCUCAGAUUGAAGGGUGUAAAUUAAAGGAUAAUUUUGCGUUAAGUCUAAAAUGGGGUUAUUACUGUAACUUUCUCAAAA